rnacentral:rRNA from 1 species
AGCGGCGUACGGGUGCGGAACACGUGUGCAACCUGCCUUUAUCAGGGGGAUAGCCUUUCGAAAGGAAGAUUAAUACCCCAUAAUAUAUUGAAUGGCAUCAUUUGAUAUUGAAAACUCCGGUGGAUAGAGAUGGGCACGCGCAAGAUUAGAUAGUUGGUGAGGUAACGGCUCACCAAGUCAGUGAUCUUUAGGGGGCCUGAGAGGGUGAUCCCCCACACUGGUACUGAGACACGGACCAGACUCCUACGGGAGGCAGCAGUGAGGAAUAUUGGACAAUGGGUGAGAGCCUGAUCCAGCCAUCCCGCGUGAAGGACGACGGUUCUAUGGAUUGUAAACUUCUUUUAUACUGGGAUAAACCUACCCUCGUGAGGGUAGCUGAAGGUACAGUAUGAAUAAGCACCGGCUAACUCCGUGCCAGCAGCCGCGGUAAUACGGAGGGUGCAAGCGUUAUCCGGAUUUAUUGGGUUUAAAGGGUCCGUAGGCGGAUCUGUAAGUCAGUGGUGAAAUCUCAUAGCUUAACUAUGAAACUGCCAUUGAUACUGCAGGUCUUGAGUAAAGUAGAAGUGGCUGGAAUAAGUAGUGUAGCGGUGAAAUGCAUAGAUAUUACUUAGAACACCAAUUGCGAAGGCAGGUCACUAUGUUUUAACUGACGCUGAUGGACGAAAGCGUGGGGAGCGAACAGGAUUAGAUACCCUGGUAGUCCACGCCGUAAACGAUGCUAACUCGUUUUUGGGUUUUCGGAUUCAGAGACUAAGCGAAAGUGAUAAGUUAGCCACCUGGGGAGUACGUUCGCAAGAAUGAAACUCAAAGGAAUUGACGGGGGCCCGCACAAGCGGUGGAUUAUGUGGUUUAAUUCGAUGAUACGCGAGGAACCUUACCAAGGCUUAAAUGGGAAUUGACAGGUUUAGAAAUAGACUUUUCUUCGGACAAUUUUCAAGGUGCUGCAUGGUUGUCGUCAGCUCGUGCCGUGAGGUGUUAGGUUAAGUCCUGCAACGAGCGCAACCCCUGUCACUAGUUGCCAUCAUUCAGUUGGGGACUCUAGUGAGACUGCCUACGCAAGUAGAGAGGAAGGUGGGGAUGACGUCAAAUCAUCACGGCCCUUACGCCUUGGGCCACACACGUAAUACAAUGGCCAGUACAGAGGGCAGCUACCAGGCGACUGGAUGCGAAUCUCGAAAGCUGGUCUCAGUUCGGAUUGGAGUCUGCAACUCGACU